rnacentral:lncRNA from 1 species
CUUUCCUCUCCUCAUUAGUGUAAGCCUGGGUAUGUGUAUGAACGAUGUCUUUCGCAAUUGCCCCUUCUUGAUCCAAAUCCAACAUCUGAUCCCACACCACCACCCUUGAGAUGCUCCACAAAGUUUCUCGUCCUUCUAAUAGGUAUUACUCCUAUCAUACAUCAUUUAGUGUUGCUUUAACUUAUAUUACUAUUCCAUCUUCUUACUCACAAGUAGUUAAGCAUGAGUGUUGGUAGGAAGCACUGCAAGAGGAACUUCAGGCUCUUCAGAAUAAUCAUACUUGG